rnacentral:rRNA from 1 species
CAGUAGCCGCGGUAGUACGGAGGGGGCUAGCGUUGUUCGGAAUUACUGGGCGUAAAGCGCACGUAGGCGGCUUGGUAAGUUAGAGGUGAAAGCCUGGAGCUCAACUCCAGAAUUGCCUUUAAGACUGCCGAGCUAGCAGGUGAGAGAGGUAAGUGGAAUUCCGAGUGUAGAGGUGAAAUUCGUAGAUAUUCGGAAGAACACCAGUGGCGAAGGCGGCUUACUGGCUCAUACUGGACGCUGAGGUGCGAAAGCGUGGGGAGCAAACAGGAUUAGAUACCCCCGUAGUCCCUGUCUCUUAUAC